CAGGGAAUUGUGUCACUCCCAUUGAGCAGCUGUGGGGCCCUCUCCCACAUGGCCCAGGUCCACCACUCUGUCAAAGGUCGCACAGCCCAGACAAAAACAGGACACAGCAGUGUGUGAAUGAGCCGGGCUUUCUCCUUCCCUCCACGUAAUAGAAGGUGCCUGAGGUUGUUGAAACACAGUCCAUUUCUCCUGGGAAUGACAAGAAUUUGAGGGAUGCUGACUUUCAAGGAAUACUGCAUGACAGGCAUCAAGAUAAACCUGAUGAAGAAAACAUAGGCCAGAAUCUGGGAAUCGGGAGCAAAGUAAUACAGCUUCGGGGACAGGCACGUAAUGAGGUCAUGAUGUAGGAGACUCCCUGCAGGACUGGCGGCCCCUGUUCCCUGGGUUGUUCUGGCUCUUUCAGAACCUGACCCUGGAACAGGACUGAGCAGGUGCCUGUGUGCACAGAAGACCUUGUGUGAGUCCUUUGGUACCACGUUUGCUGCACGAAUGUCUGAGACACCUCACAGUCGCUUGGUUCAGCCUCUCCCUCCUCUCUCCGCUGGGGAACAUCAUCCCUCAUCACUGGAAGAAAUUACAAGGAUUGUGUAAACAAUUACAAGUAUUCUACAAACAGUGAGCAUGCUGGUUUGGCCCAUCUAUUUGUAAGAAAAAACAUGGGGUUUUAUGGCAAUGAGUUACAGCUCUGAACUCCUGGCACAAUCACAAAUAUCCUCAGCACAAAACACCAAGUGUAUGUCUCCCUUCUGUCCUAAAAGGGUAGUGUGUGCAACUCAUUGAUGGGGCUCCCAUUUCAUUUUUGAAAGAUCUGCUCACUGAUAAUACCAGUGAGAUUGUUUUCACCAAGAUCUAUGACAUACAAAUAAACUGUUGCUUCAAAAGCAUCUAGCGGCCAAUUGCUGAUCAUCCAAGUGACAAAAAGCUAACUACUUCAUUCCUAAUUAUUACUGCACACUGCUCACAAGCAUCUCUCAAUCCGUUACCAAUUUUAUCCUUGACUCCUGAUGAAACACAAAUCUCUUUGAUCAGGUUAUCACAUGGCAUAGGUGCAAUGGUGGUUGCUUCAGGGGAAAUAAUUUAAUUCAAGUACUUUGCAGUUUGCUAGGUGCCCUGGGGCAUAGUAUUCUUUGGGCCUCCUAAGGUUCUGAUGGUGAUGAACUGAUUUAACGUAUAGAAUAGUUUUUAAAUGUGAAGUGCUACAGGGACCACUAUGCAGGGAGCUGAAGGGCUAUUGAGCUGGACACUUGAGCAUUGGCUGCAUUGAAUGAUAAAUAUUGCACAAUAUUUCUCUUCCUCAAAAUAGAAAAUGACAAUGGAAAACUUUUAAUAAUGUCAACAUUGGUGACUAGAAAUACAUAUGUGCCUCCUUAUGAAAGCAGGGGUGGUGACUGAAUAGAAUUGUUUUGUUUUUAGAGAACGAUGUUUUUCUUUUUGUUUUUUCUUCUUUUAUAGUAUUUUACUUAAAAAUCCAAGUAAUAGUAUUCUACUGUAUUGCCUUGAAGAAGUAAAUUGAGAAAAGUCAGAACACUUAUGUAUUUUUAUUUAAAAACGAACGUUUUAGUCAGCACCCAAUGCAACAAAAGCAAACUAGAAAUUGCAUGUCAGCAAUAAAAUAACCAGGUUCUUAGAAGGGCGGCCUAAGUCAGCUCUACAGAUUCUCACCUUUGCUGAUUUAGCCGCAUGGAACCUAAUUAAUGGGUAGAUUAUACAUUUGCUCAACAAGUAUUAAUGGAGGUACUUGAAUGAACUGACAGGGCCCAGCCUUAUGCAGUGGUCCUCAAAGGCUUGUUCAUAUCUUGAUUUGGACAUCAAAAGAGAAGGCCGUCGCAGGAAAUCGGAGACCUUGAGCCUUUACAUGUCCACCUCAGAGACUAGACGUAACUGCCUGCUAGAAAUAGUGGCGUGAGGAAUGCGAAAGGGAGAAGUUGUUUGAAGGAUCUCAGACUCCAUGCCGUGUACUUUGAAGAUGAGCUUUAGAAAUUGCACAUCAAUAGUUACUGCAGAAGGAGCAAUAGGAACUGAGAACAUCUCACGCGGCUUAGUGCGACCGAUAAACACCAGCUGAAGCUUGUGUCCUGCACAAUAAACCUUAUUUGCUGAUCUCUGAAGGUGCAAAGCAGGGCACUACUGCUCAGCAGCCUCUGAUGACGAUUUAUAUGUUAACAAGCUGAAUUCCUGCUUCAUCUGGAGGACUGCACAGUGUAUCUGAGAGAGGAUUUUCAGGAGGCCAGAAAAUCAAGCUGGAGGGAUUUUCAGCGUGUUGGGAGAUUGCUACCUGUUUUAAGUCAGGCCAUUGCCACGUCUUUUUCCCCACCUUGGAGACUUCAGCUGUUUUCCUUCACUAAUAUUUCCAAAACACACAACAACAGUUGGCAUCGCUCGCAUAUAAACAGCUCUUCCAUGUCACUGAGAAAACGAGCAAGAUCCAGGGAGGAAAAAUGGAUACAGGAUAUAAAUAGAAAAUCCUCAAAACAGGAAUUUCAAAAUGUCAACAAACAGGCAAAACUUUCUUUCAACAGCGCUAUUAUGACUGGUAUGUUUCACUUGCUUUUUUUUUUUUUUUCU
rnacentral:lncRNA from 1 species